AGAAUGUGUUGGAUGAUGUAGGUGGAGGAGUUCAUUGUGUUGGGAUUGGAAGAUCACAAUCACUUGGAAUUGCAAGUAAUAUUAUUGGUAAUUUUCAUCAACAAAAUUUGUGGGUUGAAUUUGAUUUGAGUAAUAAAAGAGUUGGUUUUGGUAAAGUAGAGUGUAAGUAGGGUACUAUAACUAGUGUUAGUGAGUAGUUGUUGUCACAUAUUAUUGGUGCUUUGUUUGGAGUACAUAUAUUAAUUGAAAAACUUUUUGAAAUAAAAAAAAAUUGUAUAUGUUAAUCUAGAGGAGUUGUU
rnacentral:misc_RNA from 1 species